rnacentral:lncRNA from 1 species
AUUUCAAUAUUUUUUCUCCUAUAUCUUCGUCAUGAGAUUUCCUGACUCCUCUUUUUUGGCUCUGGGUCUGUGGUGGGAAAGCUGUCCUCCUCUAUGUACUGAAUUUAUGUGAUUAUUGUCCAGUCUAAUCUGGCAUGCACUUUGCUCAAUUCAUUUCCAAUAAUAGCAGGUUAUUUAGGUUUAAGUGAUGAAUUCUGAACAUGCCUGUGUGUCUUUGCUUCACCAAAACACAGAACCAUACCUACGUGUGCUGGACAGUGUUAAAGGUUCUGAUGUUAAAGGAUUGAUGGCACCAUAGUUGCCUUGGAGGAGUUGUAUGUCUAAUGGAAGAGGCAGAUCCAG